rnacentral:rRNA from 1 species
AUGAACAUUGCCCUCUUGACCCGCUGGCUUUGGCGCAUUGCCAAUGGGGAUGGUGGGCUUUGGCUGCAAAUAAUCUGGAAUAAAUACCUCAGUGGCCGGCCCCUUGCAUUCUGUCAACGGUCCGGUGGCUCGCAGUUCUGGAAAUCUGUCAUUCAGCUAUUGCCUGUCCUGCACAUUGGUAUUUCCAUUUCGGAUGGCUCGGGGCGGCCACCCUCUUCUAAUUCGACAGAUGGGCCGGUGAUGCCAUAUUCAUGGCCCGCUUCCCGGAUCUAUUCUCCAUCGUCGUUGACCCCCGGGUCUCUGUCGAGAUGA